UGCCUGUGCCCUGCCAGGUCGUCCGUCCUGUUAGAGAAUGAGCCCAGACAAUGCUCCUCACUCCUCUCUUCUGAAGGCAGCCAAAGCGCAGAUAGAAGGAAAUCUACAAAUGGAUCUGUAUGAAGGGCCUGGGUUAUUUGGCUUCAUUUGUCAGAAGAGACAACUGAACCACAGAGUCCCUGGCAGCUGUAUCUCGCUCAGCUUCUGUAUCUUCCCAGUCCUUCUUCACAUUCUGUCUUUAGGCAGGUUGUUCUCAAAGCACUUGCCUAUGGCCUAUCCACAGGCAAGUAACUGUGCUGAGUCUGUUCCAUGCAUGGCUCUGCACUAGGGUCUGGGUGACCUGAAAGCUAGCUGGCCAUGAGGCUCACCACUGAGCUUGGGAGAAAACUGAUAGCAUGUAGGAUAUGGGCAUGAGACUCAAGGGUUUGUUCUCUUGGGUAGCUAGGAUUUGGUAUAGUAAAAGAGAAGGAACCCAUAGGUGCAGUGUAGCAGAUAUUGAAAAGAUAAAGGUGGAAAAAAAACCUAGACACUAAAGACUACUGAAUAAGAUGACUGCAGAAAUAAGUUGUCCCUAAUUUUAGACAAAGUGGGAAAAACAGAGGGCCUCCUUGGCAGUAUACCAAGAGCUGGUUUCCUACAAGUAGAUAGAAGAAAAAGCUGAAGAUUGAGUCAAAGACAGGAUAUGACAUUUUAGAGAAGGAUAGAUUUUCCACUGUGGAAUGACUCAGGUUAAGACCCUGGCUCAACUUGAAGGGGCUCAAGAUCCCAUAUGAACAACAAUGACAACCAACCAGAGCUUCCAGGGACUAAGCCACUACCCAAAGACUAUACAUGGACUGACCCUGGGCUCCAACCUCAUAGGUAGCAACGAAUAGCCUAGUAAGAUCACCAGUGGAAGGGGAACCCCUUGGUCCUGCU
rnacentral:lncRNA from 1 species